GAUGAACGCUGGCGGCGUGCCUAGUACAUGCAAGUCGAGCGAACAGACGAGGAGCUUGCUCCUCUGACGUUAGCGGCGGACGGGUGAGUAACACGUGGAUAACCUACCUAUAAGACUGGGAUAACUUCGGGAAACCGGAGCUAAUACCGGAUAAUAUAUUGAACCGCAUGGUUCAAUAGUGAAAGACGGUUUUGCUGUCACCUAUAGAUGGAUCCGCGCCGCAUUAGCUAGUUGGUAAGGUAACGGCUUACCAAGGCAACGAUGCGUAGCCGACCUGGGAGGGUGAUCGGCCACACUGGAACUGAGACACGGUCCAGACUCCUACGGGAGGCAGCAGUAGGGAAUCUUCCGCAAUGGGCGAAAGCCUGACGGAGCAACGCCGCGUGAGUGAUGAAGGUCUUCGGUUCGUAGAACUCUGUUAUUAGGGAGAACAAAUGUGUAAGUAACUAUGCACGUCUUGACGGUACCUAAUCAGAAAGCCACGGCUAACUACGUGCCAGCCGCCGCCGUAA
rnacentral:rRNA from 1 species